rnacentral:rRNA from 1 species
GAUGAACGCUGGCGGCGUGCCUAAUACAUGCAAGUCGAGCGAACAGACGAGGAGCUUGCUCCUCUGACGUUAGCGGCGGACGGGUGAGUAACACGUGGAUAACCUACCUAUAAGACUGGGAUAACUUCGGGAAACCGGAGCUAAUACCGGAUAAUAUGAUGAACCGCAUGGUUCAAUAGUGAAAUACGGUUUGGCUGUCACUUAUAGAUGUAUCAGCGCCGAAUUAGCUAGUUGGUAAGGUAACGGCUUACCAAGGCAACGAUGCGUAGCCGACCUGAGAGGGUGAUCGGCCACACUGGAACUGAGACACGGUCCAGACUCCUACGGGAGGCAGCAGUAGGGAAUCUUCCGCAAUGGGCGAAAGCCUGACGGAGCAACGCCGCGUGAGUGAUGAAGGUCUUCGGAUCGUAAAACUCUGUUAUUAGGGAAGAACAAAUGUGUAAGUAACUAUGCACGUCUUGACGGUACCUAAUCAGAAAGCCACGGCUAACUACGUGCCAGCCGCCGCCGUAA